rnacentral:rRNA from 1 species
UACGGAGGGGGCUAGCGUUGUUCGGAAUUACUGGGCGUAAAGCGCACGUAGGCGGCUUUGUAAGUUAGAGGUGAAAGCCCGGGCUACCAUCGGAAUUGCCUUUAAGACUGCAUCGCUAGAAUUGUGGAGAGGUAAGUGGAAUUCCGAGUGUAGAGGUGAAAUUCGUAGAUAUUCGGAAGAACACCAGUGGCGAAGGCGACU